rnacentral:tRNA from 1 species
AAGGGAGACCUAAUUCGGGUAGAAGACGAAAAAAUAGUAGUCCCAACCAAGAAUCAAUCCCAAAAGGUCGGAGCGAGGCGAAAUUGGCUUUCAAACUAGGUUCUGGGUUCAAACAAGACCUGAAUCAGGAACAAGGGCUAUUAGCUCAGGUGGUUAGAGCGCACCCCUGAUAAGGGUGAGGUCCCUGGUUCGAGUCCAGGAUGGCCCACCUGCACAGGUGGCAAAAACAAAGAAGAGAAGCUCCGAAUCAGCACCUUAUCUUAUCUACAGAUAAGAGAGAAUGCUGGCUCUGAGUUCAGAGUCCAGAGGAACCUUGAAAACUGCAUAGAGCUAGGUGAAAAAGCCAAAAAAGAAGACCGCAA